GGAACAGAACGUUUGUCUGUCGUAUUAACCCUUAGCGAAGGAGGGCACUGGACCCCAGACAUGCUCUUUUGCAACUGCAAGCAAAUUCUCCAGGAUUUGCAUUGUGUGUGUGUGUGUUUUUAAAAAGAAACCCCUAGUCAGGCAAAGACCUAAAUGGCUGCCACAUGGGGGAUGGAGCAAACUUAUCUCCUCCCGCUCCAGAAAGUAGGACCUGAUCCAAUGCAUUCAAGCGACGAGAAAGGGGAAACGGACUCAACCUCAAGAAGAACUUUCUGACAGUGGGAGCAGCUCCACAGUAAAACAGACUUAAUGGGUGUAGCCGGGGUGUUAUGUGUGUGCAGCUCCCCCCCCCCCAAAAUCAAGUGAAUGAAUGAAAAGAUUCCGACAGUUUCUCCUGAGCACUUGGGGUCCAAAGAAAGAAUUUUAAAACAACGGUUGAGACAUUUCAUUCAGAAUCCGCUACGGAGAAUGACAGAUCUGGCAUCCCACUAAUGAUUCUGGUCUCCAUCAUCCCUGACCACUGGUUUUGCUGGCUGGAGCUGUCAAGACUCCGACAAGACUUUUGGAGAGACAACACAACGUCGAUUUCUUUGCCAUUGCCAAUAUAAGGGGGUUUGGAGGGGGAUUCAAGUUACAAGAAAGGAGAUUCCGACUGAACAUCAGGAAAAACUUUCUGGCGGUAAGAGCUAUCAAAGUAAUAUUCAAUAGUACAUUAGAAU